rnacentral:rRNA from 1 species
UACAGAGGUCCCAAGCGUUGUUCGGAUUCACUGGGCGUAAAGGGUGCGUAGGCGGUCGGGUAAGUCUGACGUGAAAUCUCCAAGCUCAACUUGGAAAUGGCGUCGGAUACUACUCGGCUCGAGGAAUGGAGGGGAGACUGGAAUUCUCGGUGUAGCAGUGAAAUGCGUAGAUAUCGAGAGGAACACCAGUGGCGAAGGCGAGUCUCUGGACAGUUCCUGACACUGAGACACGAAGGCCAGGGGAGCAAACGGG